rnacentral:rRNA from 2 species
UACGUAGGGUGCAAGCGUUAAUCGGAAUUACUGGGCGUAAAGCGUGCGCAGGCGGUUUUGUAAGUCUGACGUGAAAGCCCCGGGCUCAACCUGGGAAUUGCGUUGGAGACUGCAAGGCUUGAAUCUGGCAGAGGGGGGUAGAAUUCCACGUGUAGCAGUGAAAUGCGUAGAGAUGUGGAGGAACACCGAUGGCGAAGGCAGCCCCCUGGGUCAAGAUUGACGCUCAUGCACGAAAGCGUGGGGAGCAAACAGG